GGAUGAACGCUGGCGGCGUGCCUAAUACAUGCAAGUCGAGCGAACAGACGAGGAGCUUGCUCCUCUGACGUUAGCGGCGGACGGGUGAGUAACACGUGGAUAACCUACCUAUAAGACUGGGAUAACUUCGGGAAACCGGAGCUAAUACCGGAUAAUAUAUUGAACCGCAUGGUUCAAUAGUGAAAGACGGUUUUGCUGUCACUUAUAGAUGGAUCCGCGCCGCAUUAGCUAGUUGGUAAGGUAACGGCUUACCAAGGCGACGAUGCGUAGCCGACCUGAGAGGGUGAUCGGCCACACUGGAACUGAGACACGGUCCAGACUCCUACGGGAGGCAGCAGUAGGGAAUCUUCCGCAAUGGGCGAAAGCCUGACGGAGCAACGCCGCGUGAGUGAUGAAGGUCUUCGGAUCGUAAAACUCUGUUAUUAGGGAAGAACAAAUGUGUAAGUAACUAUGCACGUCUUGACGGUACCUAAUCAGAAAGCCACGGCUAACUACGU
rnacentral:rRNA from 1 species